rnacentral:rRNA from 1 species
UACGAAGGGGGCGAGCGUUGUUCGGAAUUACUGGGCGUAAAGGGCGCGCAGGCGGCUCUGAAAGUCAGAUGUGAAAGCCCCGGGCUUAACCUGGGAAUUGCAUUUGAUACUCUGGAGCUUGAGUGUGGGAGAGGAGAGUGGAAUUCCCAGUGUAGAGGUGAAAUGCGCAGAUAUCGGGAAGAACACCCGUGGCGAAGGCGGCUCUCUGGGACGGUACUGACGCUGAGACGCGAAAGCGUGGGGAGCGAACAGG